CUUGGGAUCUGUAUAACUUCAGGGCAUAAAAAGUAAUUGAAGUACUCCCUUACAGUACUUCAGCCUACAGCAACUGAAAUGACCUGCAGUGCUAUCUUCUGAACAAAGCUCUGUAUUGAAGAACAACCACUAAGGGGCUUGUGUUUUACCACUGACAGGCUAGAAUUGCAUAAAGUUAAAUAUCUAACCCAUAGACUGAGAAUUUAGAUGGAUGCUACAGGUUAAGGUGACCAUAUUCUGACUUCCCAAAAAAAAGGGCAUGAGUCGCAUGAAGUUAAUUUUGAAAGUUUUCUGGGUUGGAUCAAGUGUCUUUUACGCUCAUCUAACUCUGUAAGUCCACGUAACACAAAAUCGAAACCUACGUACAAAACCGCAGACAUUAGACGGAUUUUAUAAACUUCCCUGGAAAAAGCCGGAAAGCCCCCAAAAUAGAGGACAUGUCCAGGUAACAGAGGACAUAUGGUCACCCUAAUAUAGGUGUUCACUGUCUGUGAAUCCAAAAGAUUUAGAGCUCCCCCUGCUGACAAGUCAGGCUUAAAAGUCAAAAUAACACAGGCAAACCAAUGGAUUUCAACUAUGUUGGUCUUUAAUGUGAAAUAAAUAAAGUCAAAUAUAUAGAGUCAAAUAAUCUAUUACGUUGAAGAAAAACCAAUGCAGAAGUAUUGCAGUUCCUUGAGUGUCCACUUGAGGCAGCCAGGGGAACCACAUUGAUAUCUCAACACCGGAUAUAAACAUGUCUAAAACUGAUUUUGGUCUGAUCAGGAUGGGGGGUUUUUUGUUUGUUUUUUUUGUAUACCAUGUUGAGAUUACAGAUUUUGCUUAAUUUUGCAUAAUCAAAGGGUAGUUGAUUUGACUGACAGGUGUGCACAUUACAGCCAAAGGCCCACCUUAACGCUGCUUCUUUGCUUGCUUAUUGCCUGGUAUAUCAAAAAUGCCAUUGUUGGGCUUUAGAAAUAAGUGGGUCGCAGCAUUUCUGGUUCGUUUCCAUAGACAUGUAUCCCAUAGAUUUGUAAUUGAAAGAAAAAAGUGGACCCAUCUUUAUUGGGUGCAACCAUUGCAGCCAUUUUUUAACCUCCUGAAUAAAAGAAGAUAGUCUUUGAACUUUUGGCCCCAGGUCACUCAAAUCAGGCCGGGGUUGAAAAAAAAGCUCAAUCCUCCUUCUGUUUUAAAAUUCAUCAAUAAAACAUUGGAGUCUAGUCUGAAAUGCAGUGUGAGUAAGCGUGCAGAUUUGUGGGCACUAAUCUCUUAGUGAAAGAAGUCAAAGUUGCAUGCCAGAAAGGCAAAAUAAAAGACACAUCAUUUUUAAUGACAUUCCCUGAUUCAAAAUAACAUAUCUGGCUCUCAAACUCGGUUAACUGACCUGAGGAUAAAUGUCUCUGAUUCAGUGCUGGCAGAGCAGCCGAAUGAGGAGUAAAAUUAUCUCCUCCUAUAUAUUCCUCUCUGCAGACUCCGCGCCGCGCUGCUACUGAGGGUUCAUAGAAAGUGCUGUGACACUUUUUCUAAUCCAAACUCAGAAAGUGCUGCUGUUGCAUUUUUAACCGCUGUCUGAUGUUUCAUCAUUAGCUCUGUCAUAGUUUUCGGAAAUAUUUGCAGUCUGUUGGCCUCGCUUUUACCUCCAGGUUUGGUACCAUGUUUCUGUUUGUGUUCACUCUGAGCCAAGGUAAAGGUUGGACUAUUUUUAACCUCAGUUUGUGCUGUGCCAUUUAAUAGACAAUGAAAGUACUACAAAUUCAGUCCAUCACUGCUGUGUGUUUAGUUAAAGAAAUAGAGAUUUGGUGUUUCUCCUCAAACAACCACGGAAAUUCAGUCUUGUGGUCUCACUUGGUGUACUAUUUGUAUUGGUUAAGUAAGUUGUGAUCAACAAAUCUUUGCAGCUGACAUAGGCUGAGGGUUGGUUUGAUUUAGGGGCCAGUGUAAGCCGCUUUACAAGGCAGGGUCACCAAAUCCAACGGGGUAGGGUGGGUCAUUUUAAAAGAUAGGGUUAACCAUUCUGUCAAGGGCCAGGAUGGGUCAUUAUAUAUGGGAGAAGGCUUGACUUACAGUAGGAAGGCAGACUAACAAAUUUGGAGGUUAUUCUGACAAUCUAGGGAGGGGUAUGGUAAACCAUUCCAGUGCAGAGUAGGGUAGCAAAUCCAGGUGGGGCAGUAUAGGUCAAACUGAUGGGCCACAGUAGGCUUUUCUUAUUGGGCAGAGAAUCCCAAUCUGAUAAGAUAGAGUAGUUGAUUCGGACCAGGCCGAGUUAGUCAAAGUAAUGGGUAAGGGAAGGCCAUUCUGACAAGAAAGGGUGAGAAAACUUUAAAAGGUAGGGUAGCCAUUUUAAAGGGAUAGGGUUGACCAGACAAGAGGGAAGAAAGGCCAGAGUGGGGAUGCCAAUCUGAUGGGUCAUUGUAGUCUGAUCUGACUGGACAGAGUAGGUCAUUUUGAUGGACCAAGGAGAAAUAUGCUGUGCUGGUGAUAGUGGGUCAGCCAGGGAAAAGAAAAAUAUACAGUACAUGAAGAACCAUUGGUGUAAGCAAUAGGCAUAACUAGUGAUGUGUCUUUCAGUGCCAAGGCUUCGGAGUGUGUGCCGAGUAAUUCCCGGCUUAGCAUGUAUCAGGGCUUGUGUUGGUGAUGUAUGUGAACAUGUUGGAAGCCUCGAAAGCCAGCCGUACCACGUGACUGAUUCAAGAAAGGGUUCACGUGUUUGGCAGAUGACUCAAAAUGUAACAGACUGCAAAACGCUGCCUGUUAUAUUUACAAAUAAUUAUACCCCCACAAUCCAUAGAUUUGAGAAUUGUUGAAAAAUUGUCUUUAAACAAAAGUAAAUGAGAUGUUUACGUGUUCUAUGUUGUCCCCAUAACAAAAGCACAGUGACAAAUCAAGCAGCACAAGCACAUUAACAGCAGAGCUAAUGAAGCACAAUAAUGAAGCUUCAGCCCAUGAGUCAAGCAAAUGGAUGGAAAGCUUCAAUGCUUUAAGAGGCUUCAUCUCAUCACCAUUAGGCAUAACUCUCUGGUAUGGGCAAAACACUUGUUGCACAUUUAUAGUGUGCUGAAUGGGUCAAAUGCAAACCCUUUCAACAAAACAUCAAAUGACUUUGCCCAUGACUUUUUCAUUCUCUCAGGAAAAUGGGCAGAGCCCUCCUUUCAAUACCCCUUAGCUCUUGCCCUGGGCAAAUCCACAAACAAACCAUAGGGGUUUAAGGCACAACUUACCACAACAGAACACCAAAUUCAUCAAUCAAUCACACAUUUAAACAUGAACAAAAAGGCACAAAAAGCCCUCCAUACGGCUGUGACAUUAUUCAUUUAAAACCAAGGGUGACAGAAAGCCGGUAUGCAGCGGCAGGCAGCGGUGCACCACACCAGGAAGACAGAAACAGCAGUUUACAGCCGGUACGCAACGGUAAACAAACUUUCGUGUACAUAUAUGUCAGCUACAUUUGCUUACCGUGUUGCCGCACGUCAGUCCGCACUCUGCAUUGUAACCGUAGUAAUCCAAUAGGACAAUGCUGCUCGCGAGUGAGUCGUAUUUGUUUCCAAACAAAAUCCAAAAUUGGGAACGUUCGGUGCGCACUUUUGAUUGGACGCUGGUUGCCGAGGCGCUGGGGCCCGCCUCCCG
rnacentral:lncRNA from 1 species